GAUGGCUAUGUACGAUAGUGUUUCUUCCUUUUCAAAUUCAUUAAGCUAGCACAACACAACCUCAAGCAAUCGAGUUCUCCAAAGUCCUCUAUCUAUCGAAUCCUCGGACGCACUGGCAGUUCCACUGUUUGUUUCCUCAGAAAAUGGGCCCUUGCAAAAUUAUUUUCUGGAUGUCUACAAAAAGGUGUUUUGAUUGAGCUGCUGCCAGGGUUCUGUUUGUUUGCUCUGCUGAUGAAUUCUUUUGAGUUUUCCAAGCUUCAUCCUUUUCUGGGGGGAAAAGUUAUUGUUUUUGCCCUCUCUGAAUUAGUUUCUAGGCUUUGCCACUGCAUGUGUUGCUCCUGACCAACAAGGCCACGCAAAAGCAUGAUUGAUGAGACCGACUUCGUGUCGGGUUACCUCUACCGAUCCCGUGACCCGUGACUACUGCUCUUAUUGAUCUGAAAUGUGAAAUUUGACUAGAAUCAAAUAA